rnacentral:rRNA from 1 species
UGGGGAAUAUUGGACAAUGGGCGAAAGCCUGAUCCAGCCAUGCCGCGUGUGUGAAGAAGGUCUUCGGAUUGUAAAGCACUUUAAGUUGGGAGGAAGGGCAGUAAGCGAAUACCUUGCUGUUUUGACGUUACCGACAGAAUAAGCACCGGCUAACUCUGUGCCAGCAGCCGCGGUACUACAGAGGGUGCAAGCGUUAAUCGGAAUUACUGGGCGUAAAGCGCGCGUAGGUGGUUCGUUAAGUUGAAUGUGAAAGCCCCGGGCUCAACCUGGGAACUGCAUCCAAAACUGGCGAGCUAGAGUAGGGCAGAGGGUGGUGGAAUUUCCUGUGUAGCGGUGAAAUGCGUAGAUAUAGGAAGGAACACCAGUGGCGAAGGCGACCACCUGGGCUCAUACUGACACUGAGGUGCGAAAGCGUGGGGAGCAAACAGG